CCUCCCUAGGGCUAAGUAACACCUGACUCAUUACAUGUCUUGUUAGUAUCCCUUGUUUCUUGUCUCCUACAAUGGCAGCUUCAAUGAGACAGGGAUAUUUGUUCCCUUUCACUCACUACAGCAUCUACCAGGAGGCCUAUUACACCAGAGGAGAUUGAUACUUAUGGACUAACUAGCCUAUAGACACACACAAACUCAUUCCAGGCCCACAUGAACUUGUUCUUCACAUCCCAGGCCCACAGUUCACUUCAGUGAACUGUUCUCAGCUCCAUCCUAUGUGACACAAAGGUAUCUUAUCUUCCGGUCCUCAAACUCAUCUCCCAAGAAGUGUCCAUCUGCCCAUCCUGGUGACAAAGGGCCUUCAAGUUUCCUGAGCCGGCACAUUACUGUAAGAUCAUCUAAGAAACACAACUCAAGAGCAUAAGAGCAUGAAGAAGUGAGCGUCAGGGCCUGGAAUGGCAGGAGUUAUCCUCUCCCAAAUCCUCACGCUGCUGCAAUCACUUCCAGAAAUGCACCCCUCACCACGUGACCCUUCCUCACUUUGCUUUCCCUCUGGAAGCUCAGGGACGUCAAUUACGGUUCCUCACUUGGCUGCCAUCUCCUCGGUAUGGCGUCCAUUGCCUCCCUGAGGUCUCACCUGUGCUCAGGUCUCCCUGGGUCAGCCCUGGGGACCAGUCCUCCUAAGCCCUGGAUCUCUGGCCCUCAUUGCAAGUUCCUUGAUGGGGAUGCGGAACAGCUUCAGGACGUAGGACCACGCAGAGAGAUGACCUGGGGGCCCAAGAAAACACUGGAAGCUGUGGCGAGGGCAGGGAGGAGGUUUGGCUCACUUCUGACUCUCCCCUUCAAGUAACAGUGGGCACAGUCUCCACCGAGGUGAGAGGCAGGCUUCACCUCCUGUGCAGUUCGGGGAAGGUGGAAAUCCCUGGUAUUUCCCUCCACUUCGGCGUGGUACCGCACUGCAUUUUGGGAGCCACGUGAAGUGCGGGGGCACCCCUCUGGAGUGCUGAGGGCCCGGCUGACGUGUCAUUUACCACAGCCCAUGGGGCCAAAAUUCUACAGGGUGAGCCCAGGUCCAGAGGAGUACGCACCGGCCUCGGAGGGUCGGCUCCACACUCUGAAGGCCACAUUCGAGUGAGGGUGUGGUCGGUGCAUGCGCCACUCAAACCACAGGGUGGAAUGUGCCCCAGAACUCGGGCAGGGUGCUUCUGGGACAAGUGGGCUCCUGAGGGAUUCCCAGAGCUAGGACAGGGCAGGGCAUCUCCUUUUGACAUUAUUGAUGGGGUUGAGAAUAUUGUGAGAUGUGCUUCUUGGUGCAGAGGUGUUUAUGCGAUUAUUGUGUUCGAGGAGCCUGUUCCUCAAGACAUGGGCUCUGAGUUGCAACAAAAAGUUCCAGAGUGGAGUAGGUGUUGCAUUUAAACAUGUUUCCCAGAAAGGAGGCACAACCACAAUCAGAUGGGAAAUUUAAGAGCUGGAAAUGGCCUCCAGCUCUGCGCCGGGAAGACAUGAUGCUGAUGCCCAAGGAUUAGAUUAGGACAUCCCCAGGCUGACCUUAUUUGUGGAGACCUGUUAGAUGCACCGCAUCAUUCCCGAGCAAGCAUUUCCUGUGUAUGACUCAAGAAACGUGGUGUUAUCGCAAAGGUGGGUGCCAGGAGCCCUAUCACUGUCUCACCUGUUGUGUGAAUGAGGGCAGGUGUUUCCCUAGCGUGUUUUGUAGAAUCCGAUUCAGUACCAAGAAAGACUUCAAGGUGGUGAAGGGAAGUGUUGCACAUGUAGCAAUCUAAGUUCGGAACAGUUUUAACAUCCUCCCAGUAUGUGAAAACAUUUUGGUCGCUUUACAUAUAUGUUUUUAGUGUUUACACAUACUGUUUCCAGAGUAGUUGUGAGUUUUCACAAAUGCAUAGUUAUACCAUGAAGACCAAAAACACUCCAUCAGCCCAGAGGAACACUCUUGCGGUGCCUGUUUAUACUGAACCCACCUUUAGACACGAAUCUGUUUAAGGUUCCUAUACCUUUACCUUUUCCAGAAUGUCACAUAAGUGGAUCACCAUGUAGUCUUCUAAGUCCUGUUUGGAAACUCUGAUACCACAUUUGUAAAGGUACAUAUUUAUAUGAACCUAGCACUGUUCUUCUGAAUUUAAAAUUUUUGACAUUGCACAGUAGAGGAACACAGAUUACGACUAAAAUUGAGAUUACGCUAUAAUGAGUUAUGUAAAUUUGGGUAAGGUUUGUGCUUUACCUUCUUCAUUUGCAUGACGGAAGGAAAGAUGGGGGGGCAGGGGAUCAUGUGAGAUACCAAUACUGUAAAAAUCACAUAAUCUUUACACCGCAUAGAAAACAUAAAUUAGCACUAAAAAAGAAAAAGGACCAAUCUGUAUUUCCUUUGCUGUUUAGUGAAAUAAAAGUCAUCACCAUUUACCCCAUGUUUCAUAAAAUCUCCUGGAAGUGUAAACAUAUGGAAAUGAUCCCUGAAAACAGC